UACGGAGGAUCCAAGCGUUAUCCGGAAUCAUUGGGUUUAAAGGGUCCGUAGGCGGGACAAUAAGUCAGCGGUGAAAGUCUGUGGCUCAACCAUAGAAUUGCCAUUGAUACUGUUGUUCUUGAGUGUUUAUGAAGUGGUUGGAAUAUGUAGUGUAGCGGUGAAAUGCAUAGAUAUUACAUAGAACACCGAUUGCGAAGGCAGAUCACUAAUAAAAUACUGACGCUGAUGGACGAAAGCGUAGGUAGCGAAC
rnacentral:rRNA from 1 species